GACGAACGCUGGCGGCGUGCUUAACACAUGCAAGUCGAGCGGUAAGGCCCUUUCGGGGGUACACGAGCGGCGAACGGGUGAGUAACACGUGGGUGACCUGCCUUUAGCUCUGGGAUAAGCCUGGGAAACUGGGUCUAAUACCGGAUAUGACUCCAUGAUGCAUGUUGUGGGGUGGAAAGCCUUGUGCGGCUGGAGAGUCGGGCCCGCGGCCUAUCAGCUUGUUGGUGGGGUGA
rnacentral:rRNA from 1 species